rnacentral:rRNA from 1 species
AGCAGUCGCCACGGUAAUACGUAGGGUGCGAGCGUUAAUCGGAAUUACUGGGCGUAAAGCGUGCGUAGGCGGUUCGUUAAGUCUGUUGUGAAAGCCCCGGGCUCAACCUGGGAAUGGCAAUGGAUACUGGCGAGCUAGGGUGUGUCAGAGGAUGGUGGAAUUCCCGGUGUAGCGGUGAAAUGCGUAGAGAUCGGGAGGAACAUCAGUGGCGAAGGCGGCCAUCUGGGACAACACUGACGCUGAGGCACGAAAGCGUGGGGAGCAAACAGGAUUAGAUACCCGAGUAGUCCCUGUCUCUUAUAC